AGAACGAACGCUGGCGGCAGGCUUAACACAUGCAAGUCGAGCGAGGACUUCGGUCCUAGCGGCGGACGGGUGAGUAACACGUGGGAACGCGCCCUUCGGUUCGGAAUAACUCAGGGAAACUUGAGCUAAUACCGGAUACGCCCUUACGGGGAAAGAUUUAUUGCCGAAGGAACGGCCCGCGUCCGAUUAGCUAGUUGGUGAGGUAAUGGCUCACCAAGGCGACGAUCGGUAGCUGGUCUGGGAGGAUGACCAGCCUCACUGGGACUGAGACACGGCCCAGACUCCUACGGGAGGCAGCAGUGGGGAAUAUUGGACAAUGGGCGCAAGCCUGAUCCAGCCAUGCCGCGUGAGUGAUGAAGGCCUUAGGGUUGUAAAGCUCUUUUAGCAGGAAGAUAAUGACGGUACCUGCAGAAAACGCCCGGCUAACUUCGUGCCAGCAGCCGC
rnacentral:rRNA from 1 species